rnacentral:rRNA from 1 species
AGUGAACGCUGGCGGCAGGCCUAACACAUGCAAGUCGAACGGCAGCACAGCAGUAGCAAUACUGUGGGUGGCGAGUGGCGGACGGGUGAGGAACACAUCGGAAUCUACCUUGUCGUGGGGGAUAACGUAGGGAAACUUACGCUAAUACCGCAUACGAACUACGGUUGAAAGCGGCGGACCGCAAGGCGUCGCGCGAUUGGAUGAGCCGAUGUCCGAUUAGCUAGUUGGCGGGGUAAAGGCCCACCAAGGCGACGAUCGGUAGCUGGUCUGAGAGGAUGAUCAGCCACACUGGAACUGAGACACGGUCCAGACUCCUACGGGAGGCAGCAGUGGGGAAUAUUGGACAAUGGGCGCAAGCCUGAUCCAGCCAUGCCGCGUGUGUGAAGAAGG